AUUGAACGCUGGCGGCAGGCCUAACACAUGCAAGUCGAACGGUAACAGGAAGAAGCUUGCUUCUUUGCUGACGAGUGGCGGACGGGUGAGUCAUGUCUGGGAAACUGCCUGAUGGAGGGGGAUAACUACUGGAAACGGUAGCUAAUACCGCAUAACGUCGCAAGACCAAAGAGGGGGACCUUCGGGCCUCUUGCCUUCGGAUGUGCCCAGAUGGGAUUAGCUAGUAGGUGGGGUAACGGCUCACCUAGGCGACGAUCCCUAGCUGGUCUGAGAGGAUGACCAGCCACACUGGAACUGAGACACGGUCCAGACUCCUACGGGAGGCAGCAGUGGGGAAUAUUGCACAAUGGGCGCAAGCCUGAUGCAGCAAUGCCGCGUGUAUGAAGAAGGCCUUCGGGUUGUAAAGUACUUUCAGCGGGGAGGAAGGGAGUAAAGUUAAUACCUGUGCUCAUUGACGUUACCCGCAGAAGAAGCACCGGCUAACUCCGUG
rnacentral:rRNA from 1 species